UCUUUUAUUUGACUGUUUUCUUUUGGUCGCUUUUUUGGGCAGAACCUGACCGUUGCACGCUUGCUCGCUCGCUUCGGAGAUCCAGGGAAGCGGCAACGGGAGCGUGUAGUUCGGCGGCGGGAGCGGGAGCGGGAACGUCGACGGCGGCUAGGGGAGGGGGUAGAAGGAGGGAGUUUGCGAUCGGGUAGAGCGCCACGCGGUGGCGGGCAGCGCGGGUCUAGGUCACCGCCGACAGCGGGGUGGAGGUCGGCGCUGGCGGGGUGGAGGUCGGCGCCGGCGGCGGGGGUGCAGGGUGGCGCCGGCGACGGGCGCGGUUGCUGGGGAAGGGGGCGGUGGCGCGGUACCCAGAUGAAGCGGUACUCGAGGUCGCGGCUGGUAGGGCGGCGACGAGCACUAGGGGAGAAGGUAGUCGAGGUGAAGUGGUCUUGGCUUUUAGUCGGUUCUAUGUGUUGUUUGUAUAGUCGGCGUCGAUCGACGAUACGCGUGUACACGUUUUUGUUUGAAUAAUUAGGAAACGGCGUCUGUUAUGACUUCGUGAUUGUGUUUGUUCUAGGAAGACUUCUAUCACAGACUUACGUUUACUAGUACUGAAUACUUAAACCUCGGUACCGGGUACACAUCCGUUCCCGUUACUAGGGAAAAUGAUGAACUCGCCAGGUUAUCUCUAAUAACUUCCAACAAAGACUUCAACACUAACUGACCUUGGUUUCUUUUCAACCUCUGUAAAAACCACACUUAACGAACCUAAUUCACCCUCACUUCUACAAGAAAGACAGAUAUAUACCAAGAUAAUAACCGUUUAAACACGGAAGCUCUAACGAUGGUUGUCUGGAAAGGCAGGAGUAUAAGGGGCCUAAGCAAAAGACGCUAGCUCGCGGGCUCGCCAACGUAGAACUGCCGUCAAGGGAAAUGUUGGCUCAAUCGAAAUAUGAUACUCGUCACUCGUUCAGUACAUAUUUCGUUUUUGUUUCAUAAUCAGACGAUAGUUUACCAUGUAAAUAAACUUGAGAUUCCCGUCCAGGUCCCAGAGUACUUCUCCCGUACACAAACAUAAUCUAGUCUUCCAAAACGUCAACUGUUCGAAUGUCCAAACUCGUGGGGCUUGUUGCCCCACCCGGGAAACUGGACACCCAAAACGACCAUGGUUCUCUUCCUCCAAGGAAAAUUGGACGUCCUCGAGACGGUUACCGUCGCACGAAAGGAACUGUUACUGCACCAUGACGUGCAUGCGUUCUACGUCGCUCACUUUAGCCGCGUUCUCCCGUAGAACGUUCGUCGUGGUUUAGGAUAUAAUACCCUGGCUUUAAUUCGUACUUCCUCCUUCUAUGGUCGUGGUCGGGGUCGUUAUUUCUGACGCCGUUGCCGCUGCCAUCACACAGGGCCGCUCGCACUCGUUACCGUCGUAGUAGAGACUGAGACUCAUGGACUGGUUCUGCGACGGGUCCAGUGUACAGUUCCUGAAGGAGAACCUGCUACGGCGGAGGAACCGACAACAACAACAGAGGAGUUUAUUCAGCAUAGUCCAUCUCGACUCCUAGUUCCUAAUUCAUAUUUGCGUUACCUCGGGCAACAUAUUGUUGCGUCUCGGCUUCCUCUACGAUAAAAUAACAACGGAAUAGAAACAGCUACGUCAGCUUAUACCCAGAUAAGACCACGGGACAGAAGUAGCAUCGCACACAUACAUUGUACCCCCGGCGGCACUCAUAUCUAGCAGAUCUGAUGGAAAAGACCCGAUGAUUUUAUAUGUUUCUCUGUAGUUCCAGUCUUUAGUUAAUCCCUCCGUGAUUGUAAUACGGAACUAAGUCUACAACAUUUUUUUACGGAACUAAGUCUACCAAGGUAGUUAAAAAACGUAAAUAAUACCUAUUAAACAUAAUCAAAGGAAAACCUCAUUUUUUACCCAACUUUAACUAUAUUAUGUUAAAACC
rnacentral:rRNA from 1 species